GACGAACGCUGGCGGCGUGCUUAACACAUGCAAGUCGAACGGAAUCCAUGGUGUAGCAAUACACCGGAAGAUUUAGUGGCGAACGGGUGAGGAUCACGUGAGAAACCUGCCCCAGACUUUGGGAUAACAAUUGGAAACGAUUGCUAAUACCGAAUGACGUCGGAGAACCGCAUGGUUCACUGACGAAAGGAAAUCCGGUUUGGGAGGGUCUCGCGGCCUAUCAGCUUGUUGGUGGGGUAAUGGCCUACCAAGGCAACGACGGGUAGCUGGUCUGAGAGGAUGAUCAGCCACACUGGGACUGAGACACGGCCCAGACUCCUACGGGAGGCAGCAGUGGGGAAUCUUGCGCAAUGGGCGAAAGCCUGACGCAGCAACGCCGCGUGCGGGAUGAAGGCCUUCGGGCUGUAAACCGCUUUCAGCAGGAACGAAAAUGACGGUACCUGCAGAAGAAGGAGCGGCCAACUACGUGCCAGCAGCCGCGGUGACACGUAGGCUCCAAGCGUUGUCCGGAUUUAUUGGGCGUAAAGAGCUCGUAGGCGGUUUAGUAAGUCGGGUGUUAAAACUCUGGGCUCAACCCGGAGAGGCCAUCCGAUACUGCUGUGACUUGAGUUCAGGAGGGGAGCGGGGAAUUCCUAGUGUAGCGGUGAAAUGCGCAGAUAUUAGGAGGAACACCGGUGGCGAAGGCGCCGC
rnacentral:rRNA from 1 species